rnacentral:piRNA from 1 species
ACAACGUGUGGAGCAAGG